UUUGGUUAAGUUAGAAAGGGCGCACGGUGGAUGCCUUGACACUAGGAGUCGAUGAAGGACGGGACUAACGCCGAUAUGCUUCGGGGAGCUGUAAGUAAGCUUUGAUCCGAAGAUUUCCGAAUGGGGAAACCCACCAUACGUAAUGGUAUGGUAUCCUUACCUGAAUACAUAGGGUAAGGAAGACAGACCCAGGGAACUGAAACAUCUAAGUACCUGGAGGAAGAGAAAGCAAAUGCGAUUUCCUGAGUAGCGGCGAGCGAAACGGAACAUAGCCCAAACCAAGAGGCUUGCCUCUUGGGGUUGUAGGACAUUCUAUACGGAGUUACAAAGGAACGAGGUAGACGAAGCGACCUGGAAAGGUCCGUCGUAGAGGGUAACAACCCCGUAGUCGAAACUUCGUUCUCUCUUGAAUGUAUCCUGAGUACGGCGGAACACGUGAAAUUCCGUCGGAAUCUGGGAGGACCAUCUCCCAAGGCUAAAUACUCCCUAGUGAUCGAUAGUGAACCAGUACCGUGAGGGAAAGGUGAAAAGCACCCCGGAAGGGGAGUGAAAGAGAUCCUGAAACCGUGUGCCUACAAAUAGUCAGAGCCCGUUAAUGGGUGAUGGCGUGCCUUUUGUAGAAUGAACCGGCGAGUUACGAUCCCGUGCGAGGUUAAGCUGAAGAGGCGGAGCCGCAGCGAAAGCGAGUCUGAAUAGGGCGUUUAGUACGUGGUCGUAGACCCGAAACCAGGUGAUCUACCCAUGUCCAGGGUGAAGUUCAGGUAACACUGAAUGGAGGCCCGAACCCACGCACGUUGAAAAGUGCGGGGAUGAGGUGUGGGUAGCGGAGAAAUUCCAAUCGAACCUGGAGAUAGCUGGUUCUCCCCGAAAUAGCUUUAGGGCUAGCCUUAAGUGUAAGAGUCUUGGAGGUAGAGCACUGAUUGGACUAGGGGUCCUCAUCGGAUUACCGAAUUCAGUCAAACUCCGAAUGCCAAUGACUUAUCCUUAGGAGUCAGACUGCGAGUGAUAAGAUCCGUAGUCAAAAGGGAAACAGCCCAGACCGCCAGCUAAGGUCCCAAAGUGUGUAUUAAGUGGAAAAGGAUGUGGAGUUGCUUAGACAACUAGGAUGUUGGCUUAGAAGCAGCCACCAUUUAAAGAGUGCGUAAUAGCUCACUAGUCGAGUGACUCUGCGCCGAAAAUGUACCGGGGCUAAAUACACCACCGAAGCUGCGGAUUGAUACCAAUGGUAUCAGUGGUAGGGGAGCGUUCUAAGGACAGUGAAGUCAGACCGUAAGGACUGGUGGAGUGCUUAGAAGUGAGAAUGCCGGUAUGAGUAGCGAAAGACGGGUGAGAAUCCCGUCCACCGAAUGCCUAAGGUUUCCUGAGGAAGGCUCGUCCGCUCAGGGUUAGUCAGGACCUAAGCCGAGGCCGACAGGCGUAGGCGAUGGACAACAGGUUGAUAUUCCUGUACCACCUCUUUAUCGUUUGAGCAAUGGAGGGACGCAGAAGGAUAGAAGAAGCGUGCGAUUGGUUGUGCACGUCCAAGCAGUUAGGCUGAUAAGUAGGCAAAUCCGCUUAUCGUGAAGGCUGAGCUGUGAUGGGGAAGCUCCUUAUGGAGCGAAGUCUUUGAUUCCCCGCUGCCAAGAAAAGCUUCUAGCGAGAUAAAAGGUGCCUGUACCGCAAACCGACACAGGUAGGCGAGGAGAGAAUCCUAAGGUGUGCGAGAGAACUCUGGUUAAGGAACUCGGCAAAAUGACCCCGUAACUUCGGGAGAAGGGGUGCUUUCUUAACGGAAAGCCGCAGUGAAUAGGCCCAAGCGACUGUUUAGCAAAAACACAGCUCUCUGCGAAGCCGUAAGGCGAAGUAUAGGGGGUGACACCUGCCCGGUGCUGGAAGGUUAAGGAGAGGGGUUAGCGUAAGCGAAGCUCUGAACUGAAGCCCCAGUAAACGGCGGCCGUAACUAUAACGGUCCUAAGGUAGCGAAAUUCCUUGUCGGGUAAGUUCCGACCCGCACGAAAGGUGUAACGAUUUGGGCACUGUCUCAACCAGAGACUCGGUGAAAUUAUAGUACCUGUGAAGAUGCAGGUUACCCGCGACAGGACGGAAAGACCCCGUGGAGCUUUACUGUAGCCUGAUAUUGAAUUUUGGUACAGUUUGUACAGGAUAGGCGGGAGCCAUUGAAACCGGAGCGCUAGCUUCGGUGGAGGCGCUGGUGGGAUACCGCCCUGACUGUAUUGAAAUUCUAACCUACGGGUCUUAUCGACCCGGGAGACAGUGUCAGGUGGGCAGUUUGACUGGGGCGGUCGCCUCCUAAAGUGUAACGGAGGCGCCCAAAGGUUCCCUCAGAAUGGUUGGAAAUCAUUCGUAGAGUGCAAAGGCAUAAGGGAGCUUGACUGCGAGACCUACAAGUCGAGCAGGGACGAAAGUCGGGCUUAGUGAUCCGGUGGUUCCGCAUGGAAGGGCCAUCGCUCAACGGAUAAAAGCUACCCCGGGGAUAACAGGCUUAUCUCCCCCAAGAGUCCACAUCGACGGGGAGGUUUGGCACCUCGAUGUCGGCUCAUCGCAUCCUGGGGCUGUAGUCGGUCCCAAGGGUUGGGCUGUUCGCCCAUUAAAGCGGUACGCGAGCUGGGUUCAGAACGUCGUGAGACAGUUCGGUCCCUAUCCGUCGUGGGCGUAGGAAAUUUGAGAGGAGCUGUCCUUAGUACGAGAGGACCGGGAUGGACGCACCGCUGGUGUACCAGUUGUUCUGCCAAGGGCAUAGCUGGGUAGCUAUGUGCGGAAGGGAUAAGUGCUGAAAGCAUCUAAGCAUGAAGCCCCCCUCAAGAUGAGAUUUCCCAUAGCGUAAGCUAGUAAGAUCCCUGAAAGAUGAUCAGGUUGAUAGGUUCGAGGUGGAAGCAUGGUGACAUGUGGAGCUGACGAAUACUAAUAGAUCGAGGACUUAACCAUAU
rnacentral:rRNA from 1 species